rnacentral:rRNA from 1 species
AAAUUGAAGAGUUUGAUCAUGGCUCAGAUUGAACGCUGGCGGCAGGCCUAACACAUGCAAGUCGAGCGGUAGCACAGAGAGCUUGCUCUCGGGUGACGAGCGGCGGACGGGGGAGUAAUGUCUGGGAAACUG